AAGUUCCCUCCCUCACUCUCCGGCGAAGCCUGCCUGAGCCCUCCCACUCGGUGCAGACCGAACCAUCGCGGCCGCCGCCAGCCGGGCCCUUCGCGGCCGCGCGUCCUGGGCCCGUUCCGCCAGCCCCGUCUGCUCUCUACCCGCGGCCCCGCGGCGGCGACCGUGAACACUCGGCGGCCCCUACAGCCCGCUCUCGGCCCUUCGUCCCUCGCGGGCCCCGACUCUCCCUCCUUGCAGUCCCCCGGAGCCUGGCUCCCGGCUCGGGCCGCACCGCCAGGGACUGGGGUGAGCGGCCCAGAAAUCUCCAAAUUGGACAUCCAGAGCAGCAUUCUUGUUCUGUCUACGUCUUGAAUUAGAAACUAUCAAGCUCUGUAAGUCCUGAAAAGGAAAUAAAAGCAAUUUCCUGCUGCAGAGAGCAUUUUAAGAAAGGACAGCAUUCCUGUGACCUCUGCCUACCAUCCAUAAAAUACUCAUUCCCCUCUCAGCUCUGCCUGCAGUUGAACACAAAGACCUGGAGGAGACUCCCACCUCCUUCAGGGAGAAGAAAGGAGGCAGCGAAGCAGAUUAAAGGAACUUGU
rnacentral:lncRNA from 1 species